UUCACACUCAGGCCUGUGACCACAGAAAAAGUAGCCAGCCCACCAUCCCUAGAUGAUUUUGCAGUCUUUGCACACCAGUGUGGCCAUAGGCUUGUUUUCUCCUGGACUGAGCCUGCAGAUCCUAUGAGCAAGCAUAUGUCCUGUGCUCCACUAGUCCUAGCUGGAUCGUGGACAUAUUACCAUCAUUACAAAUAUCAAUAGUUUGUGAUUACUUCAAACAAUCUGAAGUUGAAGGACCCCAGAUAUCCUUCAAAACAGGAAUCUGCAGGCAGAUGCUGAAACCAUGAAUACAGAGGGACAACUAUCCAAUCUAAUGUCUAAAUACAGAAUAGAAAAAUGUGUCUUCUAAUUUACUUUAAAAUGAUGACUGGAUGAAUACGUAACCACUGCUCUGAAUGGAAGACUUCGACUGGAAGACUUUUUCACAUGACCCAGGGAAAGGCACAAAGAAACAAAGCUUGUGAUGCUCUAAAAUAAUCAAUUCAUUUGGCCAACACCAUGCACAGAAUGGAAAGCUUUUGCCUCAUUUUUCUUCCCCCCGCCUUCAGAUUUUCAAAGUGUUUUAUAAAAGCAAGUGCUAAUAAACUGUGGCAUUAACUAGAGA
rnacentral:lncRNA from 1 species